rnacentral:lncRNA from 1 species
GUAGGAAUAGAUCUACCUAAAGCAAAUGGGAGCCACCUCACUGUCCUCCUCCCUGACCUACCUGCUUUCAGGGGCUCCCUGUCAUAAUCACAAAGAGCUGAUCUACGGCCCUGAGAGUGAUCUUACUUAUUAUUACUUAAAUGUAUAAAAAAUUCAUUUUAUUAGUAAAAAUUAGCAUUCACAUCACAGUGCUUUUUCUCUGUUCCAAGACUCUACAAUGUAUUACUAAAGCAUAAUCUGUUAGAUGUGUCCCCAGUAAUGUUCCUUGAGAUGGAAUCUGUUUGAACCUAAUAAUGUCAACCCUGGAAAAGAAAUGUCCUUCUGACACUAUAAUGUGUACAUAUGGAUAACCCAAAGUAAAAGUAGUUUUUCCCAAGGUACUGUCAUAGCUUUCAUAAUUCAGGGUGAAGGUUUAAAAAGCUUGCAUCCUUACAAAGUCUUCCUGUAGUUCUACACCUGUAACUGAGCUGACAUUUUCAAACUAUUUUCUCCUUUUUUUUCUCUCCACAUUUGACAUGUCUGAAGCUGUAGAAAUUAUCAUCAGGCUGUGUGUAGCAAGCUGAGAUUUUGACACUUCAUAGAGACACAUACCUGAACAUAAAAAAAUGUGGCUACUGAGAGGAAGACAGAACAAGACAGGAACAAAGAAGCUUUGCCAUGGCACAUCUGAAAAUAUCUUCUGCUUCCCCAUUGCAGUAUUAACUGAAAAUACAUGUUAUGAUUUUAAGCUGUAGUAGUACAAUGACAAUAAAAUCAGCAACAGCAUUCA